ACAGUCACCAUCAGACCAUCAGACGGACAGGCUCUGUGUCACUUUUUUUACUGUUCCUUAUAGCUGGAUGAUAGAUGAUUUCUUGAUGUGGUUUUAUGGUUGACCAGAUUUGUUAUCUUGUUGUUGUGAUACUGUGAUGACUGUGGUAAAGAAAUGACGUUUAUAUUUUCAGGUGGAGAAGUUUAUGAUGUAAAACUGACAUUCUGUGAAUCAUCCAAACACUGUUCCUCUGCUACCUGUAGGUGCUGUUUCCUCCAGUCAUUUCAUCCUAACACUGUUCCUCUGCUACCUGUAGGUGCUGUUUCCUCCAGUCAGUUCAUCCUAACACUGUUCCUCUGCUACCUGUAGGUGUUGUUUCCUCCAGUCAUGAUGGGAUCUCUGCAGCAGAGGUGGAGCUGAGAGUCAGACCAGGAGACAAUGUCACUCUCUACUGUGACUGUAUCAUAACUACUGGAGUAUACAUUAUGUGGUAUAGGAACUGUUCUCAGAAGUACCAGCCUCCUCUAGUUAUUUCAACUAAGUUUUUAAGUUCCAUCUCUCUACCUGGAUGUCAUGUGGUGUGGAACCCCUCUAACAACUCCUAUGAUCUACUGAUUGAGAACAUCACUGAAUCUGAUCUGGGACUCUACUACUGUGGGACUGUGGAGACGAACCUGGUUGGAGAAGGAAAACCAUUUAUACGUAAAGAGUUGUACCACUACGGAAACAUCACCACUAGGAUUUCAUUUGAAACCAGUCCUCCCGAGCACUCCUCUUCCCCUCCACUUCCUGAAGACUGUGAUGAUGUCAGAACACCUGAUGUCGACUGUGGGCUGUGUUGGAUGUUGCUGUUCUGUCUGUGUCCUGUGUCUGCUCUCCUCCCUCCUCUCCUCCACUUGCGUCUACUCCUUCUACAAACAACAGCUCCAGCUGAGACUCCACCAGGGGAAGUGACAGCAGAGAGCAGACUACAGUCAAAAUGGGUGUUGUAGUUUUAUUAUGGGUAGCCAUCUUGAUUUGUAGUCCAUGUAUUAGUCUUGGCCUAUUUCUCUGUCUGUCUGUCUCUCUCUCUAUCUGUCUCUCAGGAAGAAGGACCUGUUUUAUGCAUUGUUGGAUAUCCGUCAGGAACAGAGGAGACCAAAGAAGAAGAAGAGAGUCCAGAACUCUGACUUCAGUACCUACUCAGCCAUCAAUACCAGCAGAGUGUGAGACCUAUACCAGUCAUCAAUACCAGCAGAGUGAGACCUAUACCAGCCAUUAAUACCAGCAGAGUGAGACCUAUACCAUCCAUCAAUACCAGCAGAGUGAGACCUAUACCA